GCAUCUCCUCGGUGCCAUAGCUCCUGAAACACAAACAUUUGGUUAAUUACUUAACCCAUUAACGUCGCAACAAUUACGAAAUAACACGGCUCAACGACAGAAUCGGACGGAAGCACAAAAGCGCACUCAUUCUUGACCCUCGGCGUCGUGUUGUCGGCCGCCAACACAACCUCUUCGAGCCAAGAACUAGUACUACUUGAAUCCAUCUCUAGCAACUACUAAAGACAUAACAUCAACUUCGACCCAAUCGAUCAACUUCCGCCACCGCUAUAAGUUCACGUCGCACUCACGCACCUAUAUCCUUAAGGUUCACCGUCCUACAGUCUCCUA
rnacentral:lncRNA from 1 species